GGCUCAAUGGUCUAGUGGUAUGAUUCUCGCUUUGGGUGCGAGAGGUCCUGAGUUCAAUUCUCAGUCGAGCCC
rnacentral:tRNA from 1 species